rnacentral:lncRNA from 1 species
GACCAGGCAAUGCAUUCCAAACAAAAUCAAUACAUCGCAGAAAGAGAUACAUGCAGGGUCCCAGCUACUCUGUGUUGUCGCCCAUGCUCCAUGAAGAUGUGGCAUGCAUGAAUCACAGCAGCAGUUCAGCACGUGUGGAGGCUCUGCCACAGGUGGGACGUCUUACCUUGGAGACCAGCAGGGGACGUGGGACACCUGGGACACGUUUCCUGAGAGACACCCAGCAGCUCGAGGGACCACACAAGUUCAUGCUCCGUAACUGGGAAAAAAGAAGAAAGAGAAGUACGCAGAGACGUUGGUAA